CGAGGAGGGAGCGUACAGCACCGACCUGACCGGGGUGGUUGAGGACGAUGACCUGGGCGGUGAAAGAAGCGGCACCCAUAGGGGGGUCGUUCUUGGAGUCACCAGCGACGUUACCACGUCGGAUGUCCUUGACGGAGACGUUCUUCACGUUGAAACCAACGUUGUCACCGGGCUGGCCCUCAGUGAGCUGCUCGUGGUGCAUCUCGACGGACUUGACUUCAGUGGUGACGUUGGAAGGAGCGAAGGUAACGACCAUACCGGGCUUGAUGACACCAGUCUCGAUACGGCCGACGGGAACCGUUCCAAUACCACCGAUCUUGUAGACAUCCUGGAGGGGAAGACGGAGGGGCUUGUCAACGGGACGCUUGGGGGGCUCGAUGGAGUCGAUGGCCUCGAGGAGGGUCUUGCCACUGAGCUUGCCGGACUUGAUCUCACGCUCCCAACCCUUGUACCAGGGGCAGUUGGUGGAGGGGGUAAGCAUGUUGUCACCGUUGAAACCGGAGAUGGGGACGAAAGCGACAGCCUUGGGGUUGUAGCCGACCUUCUUGAUGAAAGAGGAGGUCUCCUUGAUGAUCUCCUGGUAACGGGCCUCAGACCACUUGGUGGUGUCCAUCUUGUUGAUGGCGACAAUGAGGUUCUUGACACCAAGGGUGUAGGCAAGAAGAGCGUGCUCACGGGUCUGGCCAUCCUUGGAGAUACCAGCCUCGAACUCACCAGUACCGGCGGCAAUGAUGAGAAUGGCGCAAUCAGCCUGGGAGGUACCAGUGAUCAUGUUCUUGAUGAAAUCACGGUGACCGGGAGCGUCUGAGUGAUAUGUUAGUACGAAGAGAAGUAGAAUGAAGCAUGAGCGACAACAUACCAAUGACGGUGACAUAGUAGCGAGGAGUCUCGAACUUCCAGAGAGCAAUAUCGAUGGUGAUACCACGCUCACGCUCGGCCUUGAGCUUGUCAAGAACCCAGGCGUACUUGAAGGAACCCUUACCGAGCUCAGCGGCUUCCUAUUGUUGAAUGGUUAGUGACUGCUUGACACGUGACGACGCACUCAUUGAGGUUCUGAGAAUGGUAAGAGGGCAAACGCUCCCGUCGCUCAAGUGGCGGGGUAAGUGCCCCACCAAAAAAAUUACGGUCAUAUUGCAAAAUUUUUGGUCUCGAGCGGGGUAGCGGGCACGUUUCGAGUCGUAGGGGAAAUCGAUGGCAAAGGACGCGCGGAG
rnacentral:rRNA from 1 species